rnacentral:rRNA from 1 species
UGAGGAAUAUUGGUCAAUGGACGCAAGUCUGAACCAGCCAAGUAGCGUGCAGGAUGACGGCCCUAUGGGUUGUAAACUGCUUUUAUAUGGGGAUAAAGUGGGGAACGUGUUCCCUUUUGCAGGUACCGCAUGAAUAAGGACCGGCUAAUUCCGUGCCAGCAGCCGCGGUAAUACGGAAGGUCCGGGCGUUAUCCGGAUUUAUUGGGUUUAAAGGGAGCGUAGGCCGCGUUUUAAGCGUGUUGUGAAAUGUAGGAGCUCAACUUCUAGAUUGCAGCGCGAACUGUCAGACUUGAGUGCGCACAACGUAGGCGGAAUUCAUGGUGUAGCGGUGAAAUGCUUAGAUAUCAUGAAGAACUCCGAUUGCGAAGGCAGCUUACGGGAGCGCAACUGACGCUGAAGCUCGAAGGUGCGGGUAUCGAACAGG